AUAAACGCUGGCGGCGUGCAUGAGACAUGCAAGUCGAACGAAGGAUCGGGCUUGCUCGAUCCUUAGUGGCGGACGGCUGAGUAACGCGUAGGUGACCUACCCCGAAGUGGGGAAUAACUGCCCGAAAGGGUGGCUAAUACCGCAUGUGGUCGCACGUUCAUUCGUGCGAGUAAAGCCGCAAGGCGCUUCGGGAGGGGCCUGCGUCCGAUUAGCUCGUUGGUGGGGUAAUGGCUUACCAAGGCGACGAUCGGUAGGUGGUCUGAGAGGACGAUCACCCAGACUGGGACUGAGACACGGCCCAGACUCCUACGGGAGGCAGCAGUCGGGAAUUUUGCUCAAUGGGGGAAACCCUGAAGCAGCAACGCCGCGUGAGGGAUGAAGGCCUUCGGGUUGUAAACCUCUUUUGUCAGGGACGAUGAUGACGGUACCUAGCGAAUAAGCCACGGCUAACUACGUG
rnacentral:rRNA from 1 species